rnacentral:antisense_RNA from 1 species
CUAACUCGCUUAUUCAAAAUGUUUAAUUUAUUUUUCAAGGAUGUUUCAUAUGG